GAGUUUGAUCCUGGCUCAGAACGAACGCUGGCGGCGUGCCUAACACAUGCAAGUCGAACGUGAUCCAGAGCUUGCUCUGGUGAAAGUGGCGCACGGGUGAGUAACGCGUGGAUAACCUACCCUGGUAUCCGGGAUAACAUUCCGAAAGGGGUGCUAAUACCGGAUAAGCCCACGGGCUCUUUGGAGCUUGCGGGAAAAGGUGGCCUCUAUUUAUAAGCUACUGUAUCAGGAUGGGUCCGCGUACCAUUAGCUAGUUGGCGGUGUAACGGACCACCAAGGCGACGAUGGUUAGCUGGUCUGAGAGGAUGAUCAGCCACACUGGAACUGAGACMCGGUCCAGACUCCUACGGGAGGCAGCAGUGGGGAAUUUUGCGCAAUGGGGGAAACCCUGACGCAGCAACGCCGCGUGAGUGAUGAGGGCCUUUGGGUCGUAAAGCUCUGUCAGAGGGGAAGAAAUGAUAUAGUGCUAAUACCACUUUAUCUUGACGGUACCCUCAAAGGAAGCACCGGCUAACUCCGUGCCAGCAGCCGCGGUAAUAC
rnacentral:rRNA from 1 species